CUGGGUGUAGCGCAGUCCGGUUAGCGUGUGCGGUUCGGAGCCGUGAGGUCGUAGGUUCAAAUCCUACCAUCCAGACCA
rnacentral:tRNA from 1 species